GAAGGUAUUCUUGGUAACCGACUAACAGGAAAUACGUCAGUAUACAAUCCCUCCUAUUACCGGCCGGGCGGGAGCAGCGGGCGUCCUCGUGCUGAACUGCACUCGUAUGUAUAAAGUAAUCAGCGGCGGACGUACAUGGUUUGAAGGUAUCCUUGGUAACCGACUAACAGGAAAUACGUCAGUAUACAAUCCCUCCUAUUACCGGCCGGGCGGGAGCAGCGGGCGUCCUCGUGCUGAACUGCACUCGUAUGUAUAAAGGAUCUUCAGAUCGAGCUGGAACAUGUAUGAAACAUCUUACAGAAGCCAAUGAUGAUGCUGAAGUCAUCCUAAACUUGGGGGAGGAGCCAUAUAUGCACCUGAUGAAGAAAAGAGGCAGUAUGAGUAAUCAUCUGAGAAUGUAACAAUUCUGCCAUCAUAAGAGCCAUCUCUGCGGAAUAUAUGCUGUAUGGUACUCUACAGAGCCGGAUCCUGACCAAUAGGGAGCCCUAGACAAGAUCUUAGCUAGUGCCUCAGUUUACAUGAAUAUGCCACAAAUUGUUAUCCACUGUAUCCUCGCAGGCAGAUGACUAAUGUGGUUAUGCUGCACUGAGAGGUUAUGUGGUUUGCUGUUGACACCUCUGUCACUCCUCACUGAUGCUGACGUGGUGGAGACCAAAUGGAGGAGCCACCAGCAAUCGUCAUUCUCCCAGCAAUGUAGCUACAGCCAGUGACUGUAGAGCUGCUGCUGAGAGGUCACAUUUGUGACAGUUCCUCUUGUCAAUGUGUGUUGUAUGAUACUUGCUUGACACCAAAUAUGUUGAUAUUUGCAGUAAGAAACAGCAGGAGUAUACCAUGCUAUAAGGUUGGUUUAGUCACAGGUAAGAAGGUGUGACAAUGACAAUAUAUUGUACAGUACUGUACACAUAGCAGGAUUUUGAUGACGCAGGUUUAGGCCACAGUGAAAUAUAACUAGAUUCAGAAAUGUUUUAAAUAUAGGAGAUGCAAUGUGAGUUAAUUGUACUCUAAAGGGUUACAUGAACAUGAGCCACUGAAUGACCUUACCUCAGGCUAUAGCGGUAGGAUCCCAGCUUCCUCACUAAAUGUUGUGAUAUUCCCAGUUGGCCUAUAUUGAUGUAAAGCUAUAUUUAUAAUUUUACAGCAUACAGCAAGCAACUUCCAUCAGCGGCUUAGCAUACCAGCCCAAGCAUCUGAACCUGAUCUUCAAUAGUCCAAAGGCAUGUUCUAUCCUACCGCUGAGGGUUACAUAAGCUUCAUUAUAUUUGUGAUCAGCGGUAGUCUGUGGAUUAGCCAGAAUUGAAAGAAAUAUACUGCAUAAUCUGAAAUGACCAACAGCACACAUGUUAACAUCACUCAAUCUAUAUUGCAUUUAACCCAUAUGAAGCAUAUGCCAAAGUAUCUAUGAAUAAAAAUACUAUGUAUUACUAAUUAUUGGAAUUGGGAUACAAAUUUUCUAAGAAGAACCAAAGCAGUCUAGAGUGUGUCUCUUAUUAGAUAAGGCUCAACAAAUCUCACUAAUUGCACAGAAUUCUGGUUAAAGGUAUCAUACUUAUAGGGUCUGUAAUAUAUAUGUUGUGGUCU